UAUUCCCAUUGAUAAUAAUCUUUUAUAGUCGCAAUGGUCUCUAAGGCUAUCAAACGCUUCCGAUGCAUCCUCAACUGUGAAGUCUAAAAUUUUAGGAUUUUUCAAAAAGGUACUAACAAUAGCAUUGUACAAUUGCGAACCGUGUCCUUGAUGUUGAAAAGGGGGUAAAAUCACGAAUUGUGAGAUACGAGCUCGAAUACCAUCGUGAAUUAAUUUG